GACCAGACUCCUACGGGAGGCAGCAGUGGGGAAUAUUGCACAAUGGGGGGAACCCUGAUGCAGCGACGCCGCGUGAGUGAAGAAGUAUUUCGGUAUGUAAAGCUCUAUCAGCAGGGAAGAAAAUGACGGUACCUGACUAAGAAGCCCCGGCUAACUACGUGCCAGCAGCCGCGGUAAUACGUAGGGGGCGAGCGUUAUCCGGAUUCACUGGGUGUAAAGGGAGCGUAGACGGCCAUGCAAGCCAGGGGUGAAAGCCCGGGGCCCAACCCCGGGACUGCCCUUGGAACUGUGCGGCUAGAGUGCGGGAGGGGCAGGCGGAAUUCCUGGUGUAGCGGUGAAAUGCGUAGAUAUCAGGAGGAACACCGGCGGCGAAGGCGGCCUGCUGGACCGCGACUGACGUUGAGGCUCGAAGGCGUGGGGAGCAAACAGGAUUAGAUACCCCAGUACU
rnacentral:rRNA from 1 species